UGAGCAAUCUGCCCUUCUCAUCGGAAUAAGCGUUGGAAACGACGUCUAAUGCCGAAUACGACCUCCUUUCGCAUGAUCGGAGGUGGAAAGCUCCGGCGGAGAAGGAUGAGCUCGCGGCCUAUCAGCUAGUUGGUGUGGGUAACGGCCCACCAAGGCGACGACGGGUAGCCGGCCUGAGAGGGUGACCGGCCACACUGGGACUGAGACACGGCCCAGACUCCUACGGGAGGNAG
rnacentral:rRNA from 1 species